AGGCAGCCGACCUGAGUGGGCAGCUUUGUUGGCAUAAAAUCGGCUUGCAAAACCCAGAGUUUCUGGAGGGUUGAUGGUUUGUGUGUGUGUGGGGGGGGGCAUAUGACUCUGCCGACUGUCUCUGAUUGGAAGGUCACUGGCUGAAAUGCCCUGUCUGUGAUUGGAAGGUCACUGGCUGAAAUGCCCUGUCUGUGAUUGGAAGGUCACUGGCUGAAAUGCCCUGUCUGUGAUUGGAAGGUCACUGGCUGAAAUGCCCUGUCUCUGAUUGGAAGGUCACUGGCUGAAAUGCCCUGUCUCUGAUUGGAAGGUCACUGGCUGAAAUGCCCUGUCUCUGAUUGGAAGGUCACUGGCUGAAAUGCCCUGUCUCUGAUUGGAAGGUCACUGGCUGAAAUGCCCUGUCUCUGAUUGGAAGGUCACUGGCUGAAAUGCCCUGUCUCUGA